GGGGCCGUGGGGUAGCCUGGUCUAUCCUUCCGGCUUUGGGGGCCGGAGACCCCGGUUCAAAUCCGGGCGGCCCCA
rnacentral:tRNA from 1 species